rnacentral:misc_RNA from 2 species
AACGCACCUUGCGCCCUUUGGUAUUCCGAAGGGCAUGCCUGUUUGAGUGUCAUGUUAAUCUCAAUCCCCUUGUUUCUUAAUUGAGGCUCGGAGGUUGGACUUGGAGUUUGCUGGCCCCCUCUUGUGGUCGGCUCCUCUUAAAUGCAUUAGCUGGACUUUGGUUCUGCGUGAAGGUGUAAUAGUUUAUUCGCCAUUAGCGCUUUCCUAACGAGUCUGCUUCUAAUCGUCUUCGGACAAGGAUUAAGUUCCUUCUUGACUCUUUGACCUCAAAUCAGGUAGGACUACCCGCUGAACUUAA